UUUUUCUUUUCCCACCAGCAUGUUGAAUCAUCCAUUUGUCUGGUAACUUGAGACAGCCGGUAGAGGAGUCACAAGAGUAGGUACCUUUCCAUGAGCUCACCUCUGUUCCACUCCCAUCUCAUAAAGGGUGUGACAGAUACUUCACAGAAGGCAAGGAGAAAACAGGUCAGAAGUAUGUUAUUGGGGGCUUAGCACUGAUUUUGGUUCUGACAAGCUGGCCACUCAGAGACAGCAGUAGCUAUGUCUGUCUCAGUAUGUGGUAGACCAUGCUGUUGGGCCCAUAUAUAUAUAGCCUCCAUGCCUGCCACUGGGGCUACUUCAUUCACGUACCCACUGUGUCAGUUCUGGGAUGACUAAAAUCAACUGGGUCAUCAUGAGUGAAGUCUUGAGCCACUGAGCCACUACCACCUUGUGCCAAAUACUAUCUGUGCCCUGCCUGCCAACCAGGAUGACAACCCUUCACCUGCCAGGUGGAGAGAGACAGCAGCAGGCUAACUAGUUGUCUGUUAAGAACAUCCAGAGCAGGACCAGAAUCUGGGCCAGGAACUGAGAGACAGAUUGGGACAACGGAACAAAUCUACCAGGGUAUGCUGGCCAACUUAGUCUUCUAUUAUGAUCAAGGAAGGAUGGCGCCUGAGAGGUCAUUACUAUGUGACUGGUCUUCAUAUAUUGCUUCUAUGUUUGAUUCUUCCUCCAGAAAUGUUUCAAUAGCAAACUCAAUGAGUUUACGUAGCCAGAAUCUUAGUCAAUAACCUACUCUGCAGUAUCUUAGGGCUGACUUUGUACAUAUGGAAGUCAGCCAGAUCUCAUGAGUGGAUCAUUAAGCUAGAAUUAUUUUCUUGGCACACGUUACAGUAAGGUAAUAUAUGACCUAGGCCUAAGGCAGGCCAUCAACCUGUCAAGAGUAAUGACCCCCAGGGGUAAGGCCUUGCUGUCUCCACCUCAAGGAUGGGUCUUCAAAGUGGAGACAAUAUAGUCCCUAUGGUUUCUACAUGCUUAAUGAGUCUGUUAUGUGAAUUAUAAAGAUAAUAUCUAUGGGGACUUUGAGCUCCUACAAUAAAAAUGUAUAAAUAUAAUCCAAGAAAUUCUGGUAGACAAACAUUGUAAUAAUGCAUAUCAGUCUUUGUAUCUCCAUUUAGUUUUUUUAAAACUUGGCUUGUGUCCAGAAGUAUGCACAGAUAUACAUAGCAAAUGCUCAGUGCUGAAUGUUUAGCUAAAUCCUGUGCUUCAAAGCAAGGAUGAAUAGAUUUUCAUCAGAGCUCAGGACCUGAACUGUAGGCUUCCCUCACAAUGAGAAGUAAAGCUAAGUAUAGGUGAAUCCUGAGUGGCACAUAUUCUAUGAGAGUUUUAUACAUAAUUUGAAUGAUUGAUAUGCUGCAUCUUUCAUUGAAAUGAUUGUCAACCAAUAUUAUUUCAAGUGUUAUUUCCAUGCUAUUUCUAGUUCUGUAUGUUUUACGUAAUUAUAAAUGGCUUCAUAUUUUCAUGUAACAUUGUAUGAUAUGAUUUGGGUUCUAACAGGUUAUCCUUGACACCAGUAUAGAAUACCCAGAAUUAAUUUAAGGUAUAUUAUCAAACCACUAAAAUUAGGAUGUCCAUGAAUUCUGAAGGAGAAAAUAUCAUUUAGAUUGUGUGUGUGUGUGUGUGUGUGUGCGCGUGUGUGUGUGUCCUCUAAGUUUUAAACAUGAGGUGGUUAUAUAAAGGGGACUUCUAAAUUGGGAGAGGAUGAAAAUGGGCUAAAUAUUUCAAACAAACUUCAGUGUGAAAUCAGUAGUAUAUUCAGUAGAGGUGACAGGGAAAAAAGCUGUGGAGGAGAAAAGAGAACAAGAAAAUCAGGAAGCAGUAAAAAUGAUGACUGAGGUCAGGUGGUAAUGGUAACAUCAAGAAACUUGAAUCUGAUGGAAAAAAACCACGGGUAGCUAUAAAAGGGGCAUUCGAAAUAGGAAAUGAUGUGAGAGGAGAAGAUAAUUUUAGUAUAGUUAAAGGAGGUAGCAGCUAUAGGUGUGAAGAGAACGGAUUAAUUUUAAAUGUGUCCCAGAAGUAAGAGAAAUAUUUUUUUGAGGAGUGGGGGAGGAACAAUGAGAUAAACCUGGUUGAGUGUUUUAUGGUUAUCUCAAGUAAGAGUCCACUUGGAGUAUUAUGUCCAUUUUUGGACACCAUACUUUCAUAGGCAUGUUGAUGAACCAGGUCAUUCAAGACACCAGGGUAGUGAGAAGUGUGUUAAUAGUGCUUCUACCAGAGAGUUAGAGUGACAUGGCAGCUGUCCUCAUAUCUAUCGAUCUGUCAUAAGGAAGAAAGAUCACAUGCCUCUGCAUUGUUUAAAAGAAAGAAACAGACCCAAAGAAAGUCAGGAGGCAGAUUUUGCUCAAUAUAAUGAUCUAACAAUUAGAUGUGCCCUGUAACAGAGUGCGCUAUUGUAAAGUAAUGUUCUCCCAUCUUUCCAAGUAUUCAAGCAGAGAAUAGUCAAUAAUACAACUAACGACUGGAAGGGUUUCUUUUAUUCUAAGGUACUAUCAGAUGGAGGAACAUGUAGUUUGUGGUCAGUGACCUCAGGUUCUCACAUUCACGGUGCUGCAUCCUGGUUUUCAUUUGGGGACUGUUUUCUGGCACUCCCGCCUGUCUGGAGGUGAGAUAUGCUUGUUAUGACAACCCUUCUGUCACAAUAAAUUGGCUGGUGCAUUCAGUGUCAUCUAUGGCUUUUUACUUCUAUUAAUUCAUUAAUUCCGGGCCCCCAAGCGAAAGUUUCCAAAGGCCUUUUUUCUUCUUUGUUAAUUAUAACAUGAUAUCAAUCAGCACCCAAGCAGAAACUAGAAGAGUAUUCAAACUAGGUAAUUUGAGGAGAGUUUAAUAAAGCAACAGCUUACAAAGAUGUGGACAGUGGCUUAAGGAAGCCACUAAAGGAUGGCACAGUCCUCCAGGCUUGUGAUCAGGGGAGUCAUUACCAUCCCCCAGCCUGAAGAUCAAGAGGCUGGAGCUAUUUCCAGACCCUGAAGAGGGUGGUUGUAUGGAGAGGACUAUCUGAAAGAAGAGGCUGUAGCCAACACAAGAAAGCCAGGGAAUAAAUAAUCCAUCCUCACUCUCCUGCUGUUGCCUCUCAAUGGCCAAACCCAACCAUGAGCUGGGCAUGAAGGGAGCUAGCUGACAGCUAUAUGGCUCAGCUUCCUGGGGCCCAGAGCAGAGUGGAGCUGAGAAGAGAGUGAAUCUGGAGGGGUUAAUGGAAGAAACCACAGAAAGCAAAUUCCUCCCUGAGAUACAGUUGGUGCUUAGGCAAUAUUUGUACUGACAGGAAUGUGGCCACAUAUUUUGGAAAAGCUCAGGGACUCAAUCCUCUGCUAGCUGCUUUGAGGCCAUGUCUGCCGAAGUCACUGUCCUCUACAGGGUUUUUUCCUCAUGUUCAGUGUUUAGUCCUUUCCACCUUCACGAAAACGAUGCCUACUUAAUAUACAGAAAGGAGGACAUACAGAAAUUUUUCAUCUUAAUUGGAUAUUACAGUUGCCCCACUUUGGAGCCAAGAAGAGCUGAAUAAAGCUGAGAAACACCUAAACAGAAAGGCAAGUUUACCAUGAAGUAAGAAACGUAAGCUUUGGACCCCUUAAUUGCUUGAGCCUCCAAAAUAGCUGCUGCCCCACUCCUGUGCCAAAAUCUGCUCCAAGGGAUCCUAUCCUAGUCAGAAGGCUGUACUCUGAAUGCUGAUAUUAGCUACAACACCAAGGCUUCCCACUAUACAAACUGGAUCCUCAAAGUCAUCCACACCAAAUGAACUCUCUAUUCUUUCUCCCAGUAGCCUGAGAACUGGGUUUACCAGCCUUGGCCCUUCCUUUCCUUCUAGCCUCAAAACAGGAUGGGAACAGAGUCUUUGGCUGUGAGAAUGGGCUCAAUAACAAAAUAAAGAUGACAGAAGAGUCAGUGACUUCAAUGACAGAGCGAUAGAAAUUACCAAUAUAAACGGAGAGAAAAGAGAUUUUUUAAAAAUGAACAAAUCCCCAAGGACCUGUGAGACAAUAACUGUGUUAGGUUUUCUAAACUUACAAGUGUUUUUAUUUAUAUAUGGUAAGCAACUAUGCAUUAUUUGUGUCAGAAUUAUUUUUUGUAUAUAUUUAAGGUAUACAACAUGAUGUCUCAACAUACUUAUAUGUAGUGAAAUGGUUACUACAGUCACCACACUUAUUGUCUCACAGGUUAUUGUCUUCAGAAGGAGAGUAAAAAGAAUGCUGGGUAGAAGAAAUACCUGAAGAAAUAAUGGCCCAACCUCAAAUUUGGUGAAAGACAUAAACUUACAGAUUCAAGAAACUGAGUGUUCCCCAAACAGAAUAAACUUUAAAGAAUCCACACUCAAACACAUCAUAAUCAAACUUCUGAAAACUAACAACAAAGAAAAACUUAAAAUCAGCAAGAGAGAAACCACACAUUAUCAACUGAUGAAAAGUGACUCAAGUGACAGCAGAUUUAUAAUCAGAAACUUGAAGGACAGAAGGAAGAGGCAAAACAUUUUGAAAGCCCUAAAAGGAAAGAACUGUCAACCCAGAAUUCGACAUCCAGUAAAAAUAUCCGUCAAGAAUGAAUAUGAAGGAAAGCUAAGAAUGAAUAUAUCUUCUAUUUCUUUGCUAAAUUUUUCUACUUUUUCAUUUGAUGUAAGAGUGUUUAUAAGUGCUUAUGGAGCAUUUUUAUGAUAGUUGGUUUACAAUCCUUGUCUGAGAGUAGCUAUGUGAGAUGACGUAUAUAGUAAAUGGUGACUGUAGUAACCAUUUCACUACAUAUAAGUAUGUCAAAACAUGUUGUACACCUUAAAUAUACACAAAAAAUAGCUCUGACACAAAAAAUGCAUAGUUGUUAUUACCAUGUAUAAAUAAAAAUACUUGUAAGUUUAGAAAAUAAAAUCAUUGUCUGAUAAUUAUCUAAAUAAUAAAGUCCA
rnacentral:lncRNA from 1 species